AAAGUCGUAACAAGGUUUCCGUAGGUGAACCUGCGGAAGGAUCAUUACUGCUUGCUCAUGGCCGCCUGGGGUUCUGCCCCGGUGCGGUACGGCAACAUCACCCUUGUCUAUAUAUACCCUUUGUUAUUUCCCUCGGCGGGGUCAUACCCGUCGAUGGGAACAUCAUAAACCCUUGUAUCUAAGCAUCAAACCUCUGAAACGAAUGAAAUAAUCACAACUUUCAACAAUGGAUCUCUUGGUUCUG
rnacentral:misc_RNA from 1 species